AGGGGUGUAGCUCAAUCGGUAGAGUAGCGGUCUCCAAAACCGUUGGUUGGGGGUUCGAUUCCCUCCGCCCCUGCCA
rnacentral:tRNA from 1 species